GAAAGCUUUGAAGUCCAGGAGUAUUUGUGCACGGGGAAAUUAAAUCCCACAAUGCCUUCGGAGCAACUUCCAAACAUAGGCCCCAAACUCCAGGAGCUGCAGCUCCACCAGCAGGCACAGAGCAUAAUUUUAAAAUCUAUAUUUACAUGAAUGACUGAACGACUGAAGACAGAGCUUCUUUCUAUUGAGUCUGCAUCAUGACAUCGGCUGAGAAGCGUCGCUCGAGCAGAAAGAGUGGUGGACGCCGAAAGCACAGCGACGGGGGCUUCAGCGACGCCUCCAGCGGUGGGUCCUUCCUGGAUGAGGCCGACCGCGAGGUCAGCAGUCUGACGGACAGAGCGUUCAGAAGUCUCUGCAUCGGAGAGGAGGCUGUUUAUAAUGACUCUGACCUCAGUCUGUCUUCACCAAGCAUCCAGAGAGACAGACAGCUGACCUUUAACCAAGACAGAAACAUGGAGGUGAGAGACUGGGAGGAACAAAAGAGAGCUGCACAUGAGAAUUUCAGCCUCAGGGUGCAGCAGUAUGGACAGGACUGGAUGCUCGGGGGGAUGUGUGGAGCAGAGAUCCACAGAGAUCCACAGUGGCAAGAUUAUGGCGCGAGGAUGCAAGGGAUGGUUUCUGCCACAUUCCAGCACUCCUUGGUGGAAACUUGUCAGCAGGGAAACCCUCUGAGGGAGGGGGAGCUUUCUUUCUUUAGCAAUGGAGCAACAGAGUUGAGGUCACAGCAGCGCAGAAGCCACUCCAGAGUUUCUUCUCUCGUCAGAGCCUUCAACGCUGAGGGCCGCAGGGACGAAGAAGGAAUAGAUAAUAAUCCAGGGGUGUGGAGUGAUGGGACAGGUUGGGACAGAGCGGCUCUUGUGAGCGUCCAGAAGGAACUUUCUGAACUCUCUACAUCAUACCAGCACAAUUCUGAUGGUCAUCACUUCCCUUCUGCAACUCUGUUUUCACCUCAGGACACCGGUUUCUGUCCCCCCCAUGGAAUGGCUCGAAUGUCCCAGGUGAAACACAACAUGUCUGCACAGGUCAGCUGCAACUCCAACUUCUUCAUUCACAGCGAGUUCAGUCCCUUCAGGCUAUGGAGGGAACACAACAGGUUUCCUUUCCAGCAAGGAGACAUCUCUGGCUUCAUGCAGCGUUCAGAGUUUCCAAAAUGGUACAACACGCCGAUGUACAACGAGCUUUCGCUUGAAAACCAGUCACACGCUCCCUAUAGGGAUCUCAGAGACUCAAGGAAUCACCUGGGACUCACAGCUCCCCCACCUCGGUCCACUUCAACGUCCACGGUGCUGCAGAAAGCUUCAGCCAUGGAGAAACGCUGCGAGUCAGAGCUGGCGGGCCAUUAUCCUCACAGGAAGUGGACACAAAGUCUGGGCGCUAACAAACUUCCAUCCCAACGUCCAUCAACGGCUUCGCCCACCACUGAGAUGUCUCGACGGGUCAGAGACACCAUCAGCUCUGUCAAAGCUCUCCAGCAAAAGCUGAAAACGAUGUCUGAUCAGAACACGACAACAGAAAAGACAACAAAUCAAACAAACCAAGGAGGACUUUCUGGGCACGAAAGGUUGGGCAACCAUGGCAACACCGCAGUGACACUAGAGGCUAAUGCAGUCAGCACCAGCAGGCUGCUCACACCUGCAGCCCAAUGGGAAGCAGAGACGUUAUGUCUCAAGCAGCAUGACGUUUCUCCUCAACCGGUGGAGCAUCCUCCUGUACGAGCUGGGAGCAGGGGAGGCACUCCUGAUGUCAGGAUGUCCAGCUACAAAUCUAGAGCUACGAGUCUCCUCUUCAAUCUCAAAGAUAACAGGAAGAGAGUAAAAAGCACCUACAGCCCUGCCAAAUUUAAAGGUUUGGAGAUUCAGGAGAAACCGAAACAGCCUUCAGUGCAAGAGACAUCUCAGCCUGUGACGCAAAUCCCUGUUUCUACAGAUGCGGACAUUCAAGAACCCAAAAGAACUACAGUGAACCAUCAUUACAACCCUGGACUAUCACUCACAGCUCAAACACACCAACCUGAAGGAGUGAAUCCAGAAAACAACGUUGGCGAUUACCAAACAGUGCAGGCGCAAGGUCAGACGGUUCAUCAUGCUGGCUUUAGUGGCUUCAUCCCUGAGAACUGCAUUAACUAUCAGCUGGCUAAUGGACAGAAUCCUCAUGAAAACGUAGCAUCGUUUACUCCCCGUAAGCGAGAUUAUCUUGGAUCAGCGGAGCAGCUUCAGCAGUCUGAUUCUGCCACAGACGCAUCAAGGUUAAACACUGCAAACAGUCACAGCAGAGAAUAUUUAAGAAGCCAAGCUCAUUCUGAGCAGGCUUUCAAUGAACCAGUGGGAGGAGUACUCUCAAAGGUGAAAAGGUAUGAGCAGAUGAGAGAAAACAAAGACAUUUACAAAAGUGUGUCCUCACAGGAUAGAUGGAGGCAGGUACGUAGCCAAGAGAUGGAGAAGUUCAGUCUGAAACCAGCUUUGUUUCAAUCAAAACACGAUGUUUUAACAGAAACGUCACAAGAAGAGACCCGGUCAGGUAGAGGUAAAGAGAAAACAGAGCUGGGGGAGAGCUCGGUUCAUGGAGAACAGGAACAGGGGGGACGACAAGAGCAAAAGACAAAAGAAGACAGUUUAAUGCAGAUUUGUGAUGAAAGUUUCGAUCAACAUCACAGAAAGCAAGUCGAUCUUUAUCCUGCGACAGAGACGCAAAACCCGGGUCAGGUUGAACAACACACGUCCUUUCUAAAAGAGGAGGAAACAGAAAGUCAACAGCUAAUUAAAAUUCAUCAAAAGGGUGAAAUCCCUGAAGACACGCCUGCCCAAAUGCAUCAGAUGCAAGACAAACUGCAUGUUGACAGCAAGGAUGAAGACGCCACAGCGAAACACAAAACGGGUCAAAAGUCCAAAGCAGAGGAUCAACACAAGGUUCAAGUAGAGCAGCCCAAAGGAGAGCCGCUUGAUGUCACUUCAGCUGAGAAGUCGAUUAAAAUAGAGGAGUCCAAAUCAGACCCAACAAAAACUAAGAGUUUAAGACAAACCCAUGAAGAGAUUAAAGAGGAGAAGAGGAGAGGAGAACAGGACGAGCAGGUCGGAGAAAAAGAACCAGAGACAGAUGGAGAGAAAGAAACAAAAACAAUUCAGCUGAUUUCAGACGAGGCUGAAAUUAUUACAGAUGAAGUCGGGUGUGAGCACGCGAGAGAGGAGCAGGUGAAAGCAGAGAUCACAGAAACAGAGGAGCUAAAAAAGGAACAUGUUCAAAUCCAACCUGCAAAGUCUGAGGAGGCUGAGACGGUUAGAGCACAACAAGCUGUCAUAGAAGAAGCCACAGGGAAAAGUAUAAAACCAGAGGAGGAGAUCGAGGCUGAACGAGUCAAGACAGAAAAUACUAAACAAACUGAAGACAGAAAAACACAGCAAGCAGAUGAAAUGAAGGAGACACAAACCAAAACCGAAGGAAUCAAAGUUAAAGCAUCAGAGGCUGAAAGAGACUGCGUUACAGCUGAGAAUGUCCGACGACCUAAGGAUGUGAAAGAUUCGAGUAGUAAAGGUGAAGUGAGCUCACAUAAAGCAGAAAUCCUGGCCAGAGAGACAAAAGGCAAACAGGAAAAGGUAGAAGAAAACAAACAGGAGCGGUCUAAAGCAGUAAACCUGAAGGAGAGCUCCGAAAACCUCACAGCUAAACUUACAGCAGCUCAGCCGGUCAGAAAUGAACCAGACAGAGUCGAGCAAGUCAAGUCAGAGUUAGCUAAAGCUAAAGCAGAGUUAGCCAAAAUAAAGGAGAAGAUGAGAGGAGACCAAAAGGAGAAAGUAAAAAACAAUGCAGCCGACCUCUGA
rnacentral:lncRNA from 1 species